rnacentral:rRNA from 1 species
UACAACGAGAAGCGAGCCUGCGAAGGCAAGCGGAUCUCUUAAAGCUGUUCUCAGUUCGGACUGCAGUCUGCAACUCGACUGCACGAAGCUGGAAUCGCUAGUAAUCGCGGAUCAGCACGCCGCGGUGAAUACGUUCCCGGGCCUUGUACACACCGCCCGUCAAGCCAUGGAAGCCGGGGGUGCCUGAAGUGCGUGACCGCAAGGAGCGCCCUAAGGUAAAACCGGUGACUGGGGCUAAGUCGUAACAAGGUAGC